UGAUCUCUGUUGCGUAUGAGAGUGAGUGU
rnacentral:piRNA from 1 species